rnacentral:rRNA from 4 species
AGAUUAAGUUAUUAAGGGCGCACGGUGGAUGCCUUGGCACUAGAAGCCGAUGAAGGACGUUACUAACGACGAUAUGCUUUGGGGAGCUGUAAGUAAGC